rnacentral:rRNA from 1 species
AUACGUAGGGAGCGAGCGUUGUCCGGAAUUACUGGGUGUAAAGGGAGCGUAGGCGGGACUGCAAGUCAGAUGUGAAAUACCGGGGCUUAACCCCGGAGCUGCAUUUGAAACUGUGGUUCUUGAGUGAAGUAGAGGCAAGCGGAAUUCCUGGUGUAGCGGUGAAAUGCGUAGAUAUCAGGAGGAACACCGGUGGAGAAGGCGGCUUGCUGGGCUUUUAAUGACGCUGAGUCUCGAAAGCGGGGGUAGCAAACAGGAUUAGAUACCCUGGUAGUCCACGCUGUAAACGAUGAUUACUAGGUGUGGGGGGACUGACCCCUUCCGUGCCGCAGUUAACACAAUAAGUAAUCCACCUGGGGAGUACGGCCGCAAGGUUGAAACUCAAAGGAAUUGACGGGG